UGGAGGCUUGAGAAAGUUUUGCUGUUGUUUAGUACAGCCAUAACUGGUUUUGACCUCCAAAACUAAAUCACGAUCACUGCAUUCAUGUCUGAUAUCAUUAAGACUAUGUGCUGUGUUUGUGUACAUUUU